AUGCAUCCAGCCUAAACCCAAUA
rnacentral:siRNA from 1 species